rnacentral:rRNA from 1 species
GAUGAACUCUGGCGGCGUGCUUAACACAUGCAAGUCGAACGAAGCACUUUAUUUGAUUUCCUUCGGGACUGAUUAUUUUGUGACUGAGUGGCGGACGGGUGAGUAACGCGUGGGUAACCUGCCUUGUACAGGGGGAUAACAGUUGGAAACGGCUGCUAAUACCGCAUAAGCGCACAGUAUCGCAUGAUGCAGUGUGAAAAACUCCGGUGGUAUAAGAUGGACCCGCGUUGGAUUAGCUAGUUGGUGAAGUAACGGCCCACCAAGGCGACGAUCCAUAGCCGACCUGAGAGGGUGACCGGCCACAUUGGGACUGAGACACGGCCCAAACUCCUACGGGAGGCAGCAGUGGGGAAUAUUGCACAAUGGGCGAAAGCCUGAUGCAGCGACGCCGCGUGAGCGAAGAAGUAUUUCGGUAUGUAAAGCUCUAUCAGCAGGGAAGAUAAUGACGGUACCUGACUAAGAAGCACCGGCUAAAUACGUGCCAGCAGCCGCGGUAAUACGUAUGGUGCAAGCGUUAUCCGGAUUUACUGGGUGUAAAGGGAGCGCAGGCGGUGCGGCAAGUCUGAUGUGAAAGCCCGGGGCUCAACCCCGGUACUGCAUUGGAAACUGUCGUACUAGAGUGUCGGAGGGGUAAGCGGAAUUCCUAGUGUAGCGGUGAAAUGCGUAGAUAUUAGGAGGAACACCAGUGGCGAAGGCGGCUUACUGGACGAUAACUGACGCUGAGGCUCGAAAGCGUGGGGAGCAAACAGGAUUAGAUACCCUGGUAGUCCACGCCGUAAAC